rnacentral:rRNA from 1 species
UUGGGUUCUAGAUCUGAGUAUAUCAAUAUUACCUUGUUCAGAACUUAAAGAGAAAUCUUGAGUUUAUGGACUUCAGGGGGAGUAUGGUCACAAGGCUGAAACUUAAAGGAAUUGACGGAAGGGCACACCAGGAGUGGAGCCUGCGGCUUAAUUUGACUCAACACGGGAAAACUUACCAAGACCGAACAGUAGAAGGAAUGACAGAUUAAGAGUUCUUUCAUGAUUUAUUGGGUAGUGGUGCAUGGCCGUUCUUAGUUGGUGGAGUGAUUUGUCAGGUUAAUUCCGGUAACGAACGAGACUGAAACCUAUUAAUUAGUUUUCUGCCUAUAAGACAGAAAUGUUCGCAAGAACAGGUGCGUAAGUACCACUUCUUAAAGGGACACAUUUCAAUUGUCCUAUUUUAAUUGUAGUUAUCUAAUUUCG